GCUAAAAACCUAGCCCAACAAACAUGAAUUCUACCAAAUCAAUUUACACCCUUUUGAUAAACCAUUUUAACUUUCUAGUAAAGGAGAUUGAAAAACUUAUUGGAGCUAUAACAAUAGUACCGCAAGGGAAGGGUGAAAUAUCUAAUGAAAUACUUUCAAGCAAUAAAAAGUAAAGACUACCUCUUGUACCUUUUGCAUCAUGGUUUAACUAGUCUAAUCAAGCGAAACGUAUUUAAGUUUGACCUCCCGAAACUAAGUGAGCUACUUCAGGGCAGCUGAGAGAGCGAACCCGUCUCUGUAGCAAAAGAGUGGGAUGACCCUCAAGUAGCGGUGACAGACCUAACGAACUUAGAGAUAGCUGGUUACUCAAGAAAUGGAUCUAAGUCCAACCUAAAACCCCCCAUUACAUACUUUAGUCUACUAAAACAUAAGCUGGGUUUUAGCGUAAUUCAAAUAAGGUACAGCCUAUUUGAAAAAGGAUACAACCUAAACUAGCGGAUAAGAUAAGCCUUAUAUACAACCAAGUGGGCCUAAAAGCAGCCAUCUUUAAAAUUGCGUCAAAGCUUAAUUGUUCUCACGCUUAAUCGCCAGAUUUUUAUCUUAAUCCCCAAUCAAUACUGAGUAAUUCUAUAAAACUAUAGAAAAUUUUAUGUUAAAACUAGUAACAAGAAGAGGACUCUUCUCUUAAAUGUAAGUGUACAUCAGAAGGGACAAACCACUGAUACUUAACAUCCAUGAAUCUAAAGUAGUAACCAACCAAGAAAACUCUACUUCCACCUAUGUUAACCUAACACAAGAGCAUUUAAAGAAAGAUUAAAAGAAAGAGAAGGAACUCGGCAAAUAUUAACCUCGCCUGUUUACCAAAAACAUCGCCUCUUGAAUUUUAUAAGAGGUCCAGCCUGCCCAGUGACUCUGUUCAACGGCCGCGGUAUCCUAACCGUGCGAAGGUAGCGUAAUCACUUGUUCUUUAAAUGUGGACUAGUAUGAAUGGCACCACGAAGGUUAUACUGUCUCCUCUUUCUAAUCAGUGAAACUAAUCUCCCCGUGAAGAAGCGGGGAUAAAACUAUAAGACGAGAAGACCCUAUGGAGCUUUAAACAACAUAGCACUUGCCACAUACCAUUAAAAUUUCAGAAUCUUCAAUUCUCUGAGCAACAUGACUAUAAGUUUUUGGUUGGGGUGACCGCGGAGCAUAACACAACCUCCAUGUUGAAAGAACCAUUUUCUAAGCUAAGAACUACAACUCUAAGCACCAACAUAUUGACAUCCAUUGACCCAAUACACUUGAACAACGAACCAAGUUACCCUAGGGAUAACAGCGCAAUCCACUUCAAGAGCUCCUAUCGACAAGUGGGUUUACGACCUCGAUGUUGGAUCAGGGUUUCCCAGUGGUGCAGCCGCUACUAAAGGUUCGUUUGUUCAACGAUUAAAACCCUACGUGAUCUGAGUUCAGACCGGAGUAAUCCAGGUCAGUUUCUAUCUAUACCUGAGUUUCUUCUAGUACGAAAGGACCGAAGAAACGUGGCCAAUAUUUAUACAAGCCACCGCUACCAAGUUAUGACACAAACUUAAUAACAUUGUAGCCUAUAAACCUGCUCUAGACAAGAGCC
rnacentral:rRNA from 1 species